CCCUAGUAACGGCGAGUGAAGCGGGAAGAGCUCAAAUUUAAAAUCUGGCUUGCUUGCAAGUCCGAGUUGUAGUCUGAAGAAACGUUUUCCAUGAAAGCUGAGGCACAAGUCCUUUGGAACAGGGCAUCAUAGAGGGUGAGAAUCCCGUCCAUGGUCUCAUGCAUUUCAUUUUGUGAUACGUUUUCUAAGAGUCAGGUUGUUUGGGAAUGCAGCCUAAAAUGGGUGGUAAAUUUCAUCUAAAGCUAAAUAUUGGCGAGAGACCGAUAGCGAACAAGUACCGUGAGGGAAAGAUGAAAAGAACUUUGAAAAGAGAGUUAAAAAGUACGUGAAAUUGUUGAAAGGGAACCGUUUGAAGCCAGUCUUGCUUACUUGUGAUCAAUCUWAGCUUCGGCUUGGAUGCACUCUCGAGUUAUGCAGGUCAACGUCAGUUUGAGAGGUGGGAAAAAAGUUUGAGGAAUGUGGCCUUCGGGUGUUAUAGCCUCUUACUAAAUACCAUCUCCUGGACUGAGGCUCGCAGCAAAAAUGUGGGUUGGUUUGCUCCUGAGGUGAAUCAUUAUUAAGACAGCUUGCUGACUUAGUUUUGUGGAUCUUCACGGUAGACCAGCUUCUAAUUUGCUUAGGUCGUUGACAUAAUGGCUUUAAAUGAC
rnacentral:rRNA from 1 species